GUUCAACCCCGGGCUUGAAAUUUCAAUCCUGCUGAGGCAGGGUUGAAAUUUCAACCCCGGGGUUAAAC